CACCCUAUAACAACUGUUCCCUGGCCAGCUUGGAACAAUAAAAGAGCAAUAAGAAUAGAACAUACAACUAAAACACAAACAAGCAAAAAAACCCAGAAAUAAAUAUAAGCAAGCAAAACAAAAACCUUAUUAAAACCAUUUUUAAAAACCUGGGUGGAUGCAAAGGUCUUGACCCGGGGUCUACAGGGACACAACAGUGUUCACCCAGAACAUUUCCAAACAGCAGGCUUUCUCGUGCAUUCGAGUUUGCCCCCCAAAACAGAAAAAGUGAUGUGUUUUUUUAACCCAGACAUAAAUUCGGCUUCGCUCUAAUGGGCAAUGAAAAACCCCAAUGGUGUCUGGAGUGUUCCCCAACAGCUUGCAGAGACUUCAGGAUAAAUCUGGCCAAUAUGUGAACGCACACCCUCCGUUCUGGAGGUGAUGCGAGCUAAAAGCCCCAUCAGGAAAUGCUCCAGGUGAGCCUCACUGGGGAGGCUAUUUUGUAAACGUGAAUCCACCACCAAAAAGGCCCUCUCCCUGGUAACCACCUGCCUUGCCUCCUUUGGUACAGGAACUUGGAGCAAGGCCUCUGUAGAGGAUCUUAAGGUCUGGAUGGUAGGGACAUAUGGGGUAAGGUGCUCUUUCAGGUAACCAAGUCCCAAGCUGUUUAGAGCGUUAAAAGUUUAAACCAGAACUUUAAAUAUGGCCAAGAAAUGGAUUGGGAGCCAUGCAGAUAUUUGGUUUGAGGUGGAACUUUGUGGCAAGGGGAGAGUCUGAAACCAAGACACAGGGUAAGAAAUGUUUCUUUAAAACUCUCCUCUCUCCUGGCCCUGAUUCUGCUGGGGUCUUCUCCCUGCAGCUGCUGUUUACAAGGGAAAUGAACACAAACCCUUUAGGGCCAAACUCAGCAUUUUAACAUAACAUGCAGUUUGGCCCAGAGAGGUAGGCCUCAGGAGAAGCAAGAACCAAUGCAUGCUUAAAGGUAAAGUGUGCCGUCGAGUCGAUUUCGACUCCUGGUGCCCACAGAGCCCUGUGGUUGUCUUCGGUAGGAUACAGGAGGGGUUGACCAUUGCCUCUUCCCAAGCAGUAGGGAGAUGAUGCCUUUCAGUAUCUUCCUAUAUCGCUGCUGCCCGAUACAGUGCCAGUGGGGAUUCAAACCGGCAACCUUCUGCUUGUUAGUCAAGCAUUUCCCUGCUGUGCCACUUAAGGUGACUAAUACGUGCUUAGAGUUUCUUAAAAGGACUGGACAGUAUUUGUUUCUGCAGGCAAGGCUCAGAAAUCCUUCAUUUUUCUUUCUUCCCUCACUCUCUGUGGGCCUCCUUGCAUUCCGCUUCAGCUGCCUCAAGAUGUAGGUCACAUUUGUGAGAGGCUUUGGGCACGCGAGUAUCCAGGAGAUGCGAAACCAGGCGCCUGGCUUUUCUGUUCCGCUGGGUAUGGCCCAUUGUUAUGAACAUGAAUAACUGGGCCUGACUCCCCCACCCACCCAUUCCCAUUAGGCCUGAAAGUCUCUAGGGAAGGCCUUGUUGUAGUAAGUGUUAAUUGUCCCCUUUGCUAAGCAGGGUCUGUCCUGGUUUGCAUUUGAAUGGGAGACUACAUGUGAGCACCAUAUUCCCCUUAGGAGAUGGGGCCACUCUGGGAAGAGCACCUGCCUGCUUGCAUGCAGAAAGUUCCAAGUUCCCUCCCUGGCAUCUCCAAGACAGGGCUGAGAUUGCCUCAUGUCUUGGAGAAGCCGCUGCCAGUCUGUGUAGGCAAUACUGAGCUAGGUGGACCAACGGUCUGACUCAGUAGAAGGCAUCUUCCUCCCUCCCGUGGUCCAAUGUCCCCUGGGGUCUUCCUCUUUUCUCCAGAAGCACCAGAGGCCUUUUCUGCAAAACAGCAAGCCAGGCAUCUGUCAAUUUUGCAGUGUUUGCCUGAGGAGUGGCUUUUGUGGGGUGGGCAGAGAAGGGGACGUAUCUCUCACUUCUGAAACUAUCAUCUGUGUGGGGCGGAGGAUUUCUUUUCUCUGUUUAGCUCCACCACAUCACCGGACUUGAAACUGGCAGGUUUGGUUGUUUCGGCUUAGGAGAGCCAACUUUGUCGGCUCUCUUGGGCAUCCGUGUUGUGGGAGGUAAACGGAACUUUGGGUGCUGGGCACAGGCAUUCCCUUUCUUCUACUUGCCUGAGGUCAGGAAGGGAUCGCAGUUCAGUGGAAGAGUACCUGUUUUGCAAGCGGGAGGCCACAGGUUCAGUCCCUGGCAUCUCCAGGCCAGGGCUAGGAAAUACCCAUCUGAAACCCAGUGCAGACAAUACUGAGCUAGAUGACUGGUGGUCUGUUUCGGCAGAAGGCAGCUUAAUAGUAGAGAAGCCCGUCGCUCUAUGGUAGACUUCCUGAUUUGCAUGCAGAAAGUUCCAGGUUGAAUUCCCAAGUACGAAUACGACUAUAUACUGCUUUUCAACCAAACUUCCCAACACGAUUUUCAUAGAUAUAAAUAAAUAAAAUAUCUCCCUGUCCCCAAAGGCCUCACAAUCUAAAAAAAGAAACAUAAGAUAGACACCAGCAACAGCCACUGGAGGAGGGAUGCUGUGCUGGGGACGGAUAGGGCUAGUUGCUUUCCUCCUGCUCAAUACAAGAGUAUCGCCACUUUAAAAUCGCCACUUUCUUUGCUCAGUUCGCAGGCCACUGCCUGAAAUCCUGGAGAACUGGUGCCAGUCAGUGUAGUAUAUGAGGUUGGCACACCUUUAGCCCUCCCACUGUUUUUGAACUACAACUCCCAUCAUCCCCAGCCACAGUGACCAAUAGGGAUGAUGGGAGCCGUAGUCCAACAUCUGCCACAUCUGCCAAAGUUGUUCAGUCCUGGUAUGGAUAAUACUGAGCAAGAUGGCUCAGGGGUCUGCAUCAGGACAAGACCGCUUAACCUGUGUGUGCGGAUCAAUAGCAAAAGAGAUGUGUGUAUGCAUGAGCUCAAACAUUCUGGUCUUUCAGGGAUGACUCUGAGGGGAAUGAUCUCUCUCCCCACCCCAGGCUUCCCUGCCACAUGGUCUUGGACAGGACUAGCCUGGAGAGCAGAAUUGUUCGGAUUUAUUUAUUUAUUUAUUACCUCUAUAUACUGCCUGAUAACGUAUAUAUCUAGGCAGCGUACACCAUUUAAAACACAAGAUAAAACAGAAUGAAAAUAAUUCAAACAAUUUCACAGAAUAAAAAGUUAACAAUUUCAUGGGGAUAAACACAAACAGUUUGAAAUUAAUUUCAGUUAAAAGCCCAGUUUUCAGUUAAAAGCCCAGUUUUCAGUUAAAAACAGGUGAGGGUCUCCCUAAAUGCAAACAGAGGAGGAGAUGCUCUUAUUUCAACAGGGAGCAUAAUCCAAAGCCCCGGAGCAGCCACAGAGAAGGCCCAGUCCCAAGUCGACACCAGACGAGCCGGUGGCAUCUGUAACUGGACCUCUCCAGAAGAUCUGAACAGGCGACAGGGUUCAUGACAAAGGAGGUGUUCUCAAGUACCCUGGACUCAAGCCAUUAAGGACUUUAUAAGGGUGCAGAUCUGGAGAUCUAGUCAAAAAUCACAAUGAGCAUUCAUCUCCUCAGUUGGCACUGACCAUCUCAGCUCAUGGAUUACUGCUGCUAAUGGGCACAGGCAUUGCACAGUUGCCAAUGAUCGGAAGAGGUGUUGGACCGGGUGGUAAUUUAAAAGCUGAUUCUCUACGGCUGGCUGAAAAAUAGAGUGAAGCGAAGAAGAUCAGCAUGCAGAGUAGGCAGAUGGAGAUGGGAUAAGAGAGGCACAAAGAGGCUCUGUGAGUGACUCCAGUCUGCCAGAGAGAUUCAUCCUCUUAGUCCAGGAGCCCGCUGGGGUGGUCAAUACUAUCUGCAGGGAUGAAUGAAUGCUCAUGGAGAUUUUUGAUAAGGUCUGCACCACUAGAGAUGGAAUAGAGGUUCUUCCAGUCAUGGCAAGAAGGAUUGUGCCUGUCAUAUGAGGGAUUAAGUGCCAUCUGUCAGAUACUUGAAUCCUGCCUGAAGGCAGAUCAGCCUGUACAUCAUCUCAGUGCUUUUAAG